rnacentral:sRNA from 1 species
GCAAUGCGUCAAACUGGGGCGAGCCACUGCAAGGUGGUGGUGGGGAAGUCUGGACUCUGUGGCCGCGUGGGGCUUUGAGGAGUAACGAGGCGAAGGGCGAAACGGCGUGGCCGUUAGAGAAGCAAAUACAUCGUUUCUGUGGCCAGGAGGUGAUAAAAAGGCUGGCGACAAAUGUAGAAGGGCUUUCUCGGCUCUCCCCUUUAACCGAUGGAAGAUGGUUCAAUCCAAAAUGCUGGGGUUUAGAAGCUCCGCCCCUAACUGGGCCUUCCGUGGUGGCGGGGUCUCCAAGGUGCCGCCUAACGCUCAGAGGUUCCGCCUUCUCUGGUCUUGUCUCUGCGUCCUAAGACGCACUCAGCCGGUGGGCGGGACCCCUGGGCCCGCUUCUUUCUUGAUCCGCUCAGGGUCUGUGAAAUUAGGACCAUCCCAGGACAGCCUGUGGGAACGGGGUAUUCAUUCAGUCAUUCGUGCUAUAAGCAUCAAUUAGGCGCCUGCUGUAUGCAGGGACCUGAGCUUGGCUGGGCUGGGAAGACCAUACUCCCCAACCAGCCUCUCUAGACAGACGACCUCUUUCCUUAUUCCAGUGUUCCAGCCAUAGGAAGAAAAAGAACUGAAAUUUUGUUUAUAGGAGCUCAGAAAAUGAUCACCCCUGUCCCCUCCCCCGUUUAGGAUAGGAGCUGACAGUCUCCUGCGUGUCCCCUCCCCACCACGGUGAUGGUUGAGAGAUCGGCAAACGAGUCAGGCGGGACCAAUCAUUAUGCUCCACCUGGAACAGAAUGGAGACUGAACCAAUGAGAGUCCUUCUCUGGGGUUUUGGAUCUGCAGCCUGGGCACAAGAAGCCUUUUCCUUUUGGGUGGGUCCUUCCCAUAGGUUCUGGCUGUGGUCAUUUUCCCACUCUGCCCCCUAUCUUGAGGAACAAAGUGUCUAGAGAAGAAGAGAAUAAUAAAACUGACACAGUGGAGAGGUAAAGAAGAUGGCCGGGCGCGGUGGCUCAUGCCUGUAAUCUUAACACUUGUUACUCAGUCUCAAAUCUCAUGUUAAAAUAUGAUCACCAAUGUUGGAGGUGGGGUCUGGUGGGAGGUGUUUAGGUCAUGGAGUGGAUCCCUCAUGAAUGACUUGGUGCAGUCCUCACAGUAACAAGUGAGUUCUUAUUCUAUUAGUUCACACAAGAUCUGUAUUUUUUUUGAGACGGAGUCUUGCUCUGUCACAUAGGCUAGAGUGCAGUGGCAUAAUCUUGGCUCACUGCAACCUCCACCUCCCGGGUUUAAGCAAUUCUCCUGCCUAGCCUCCCAAGUAGUUGGGACUACAGGCACCCACCACUACACUUGGCUAAUUUUUGUAUUUUUCAUAAAGACAGGGUUUCACCAUGUUGGCCAGGCUGGUCUCGAACUCUUGACCUCAAGUGAUCCCUUGGCCUCCCAAAGUGCUGUAAUCGCAGGAAGCAUCAGGAGUGCCUCAAGGGAGAAAUAUCCUCUGAGAAUAGCCGCAGACAAAGUGGGGAGGUGGGACUACCAUCCCCAGCCCUGGAAACUCUCUCUACUCUGUAACUUGGCCAAAGGAGAUGCCAAAUCAGAGUGGCUGUUCGUUAGCACCAUGCUGUGGGAAGUUUCUUCCAUAGCUCCCCUGGGAAUGAACCCCUAGCCAGCUUUCCUAUGCUACUGGGAUAUCCCCUUUGGGACCUCCCCCAUUCGGGAUGGGAGACACUCUGAUCUUUAAUAGAGCCAAGGGAAACCUGGUUUUAAGGUGCCACUGAGUGCUAAAAAGGAGGCAGCAACCUAGCAGAAAAAAAGAAACCAACAGGUCAAUUACGAACAAUCUGUAAGCAAAUGGAGCCAGUAAAAGCCAAAACAAGCCAGACGGAGAAGACUGGAAUAAGUGACUAAUCCUUCAGUGCAAAGGCAUAGAUGUACAUUAACAACAAACAAAAGCAAACAGGGAACCAUGAGCUCCCCAAAUGGACAAAGUAAGGAACCAGUGACUAAACCUAACAAGACAGUAAUAUGUGAGCUUUCUAAGAAUUCAAAAUGGCAUUUUUAAGGAAACUCAGUGAAUUCCAAGAUGACAUAGAAAAGCAACUCAGAAAUUUAUCAGUGAAAUUUAACAAAGAGAUUGAAAUAAUAAUUAGAAAAACCCAAACAAAUCUUAGAACUGAGAAAUACGUUUGCUGAACUGAAAAGUUCAUUAGAGGUUCUCAACAGCAGAGUGGAUCAAGCAGAGGAAACAAUCAGUGAACUUGGAGAUGGGCUGUUUGAAAAUACAUACAGAAGAAAAAAGAAAAAAGAAUGAAAGGAAUGGAAAUCACCUACAAAAUAUAGAAGACAAAAUCUAAGAAUUAUUGGUGUUCAAGAGGGAGCUGAGGAGGAGCAAGGGGAUAGAAAGGAUAUUCAAAGAAACAAUGGAAGACAUUCAGAAAUUCCAAAUAUCCAGGUAAGAAAGGCCAGAGAACACCAAAUAGAUUUGAUUACCCCAAGGCAUAUAAUAAUCAGACUCUCAAAGGUCAAGAACAAAGAGAGGAUCCUAGAAACAGUAAGAGAAAAGAAGGAAAUAACACUUAAAGGAGCUCUAAUUUACCUGGCUACAGACUUCUUAAUGGAAACCAUGAAGGCCAUCCAAGAAUAUUGUAUCAAGCAAAGCUAUUAUUCAAAUAUGAAGAAGAGAUAAAGUUUUUCCCAAAUAAAAGCAGAGAGAAUUCACCACUACCAGAUCUGUAUUAUAAGAAAUACUCUCUUGAAGAAAGAGCGUUCCAGAGAGCUCCUCAAUCCGG